GUGGACUCUCAAGCGUGAGGUAAGGGCAUCUGGUGAAUGCCUUGGCAUGUACAGGCGAUGAAGGACGUGGCACGCUGCGAUAAGCGUGGGGGAGCUGUGAGCAAGCUUUGAUCCCGCGAUUUCCGAAUGGGACAACCCACCUUCACCAUUUAAGACUGGUCCAGCUUCUGGCUGGCCCCGUGUUAAAUGGGAGAGGUAUCACUAAGCUGAAUAAAAUAGGCUUUGGUGAAGCGAACCCGGAGAACUGAAACAUCUCAGUACCCGGAGGAAAAGACAUCAACCGAGAUUCCGUUAGUAGUGGCGAGCGAACGCGGACCAGGCCAGCGCCGACUUCUUAAUUAGCAGAAGCUUCUGGAAAGUAGCGCCAUAGCGGGUGACAGCCCCGUAUGCGAAAAUGAAGAUGUCGGACUUGAGUAGGGCGGAGCACGUGAAACUCUGUCUGAACAUGGGGGGACCACCCUCCAAGCCUAAAUACUCGUACAUGACCGAUAGCGAACCAGUACCGUGAGGGAAAGGUGAAAAGCACCCCGAUGAGGGGAGUGAAACAGUACCUGAAACCGGAUGCCUACAAGCAGUUGGAGGGCUCUUGAAGCCUGACAGCGUACCUCUUGCAUAAUGGGUCUGUGACUUAGUGUAUCAUGCAAGCUUAAGCCGUUAGGUGUAGGCGCAGCGAAAGCGAGUCUGAAUAGGGCGACUGAGUAUGAUGCAUUAGACCCGAAACCCGGCGAUCUAGGCAUGACCAGGCUGAAGGUGCGGUAACACGCACUGGAGGGCCGAACCGUUUAAUGUUGAAAAAUUAUCGGAUGAGUUGUGUUUAGGGGUGAAAGGCCAAUCAAGCCGGGAAAUAGCUGGUUCUCCGCGAAAUCUAUUGAGGUAGAGCGUCGGAUGAUUGCCGUUGGGGGUAGAGCACUGGAUGGUUGCGGGGGUCGCGAGAUCUACCAAUACUAACCAAACUCCGAAUACCAACGAGUCUAGUCCGGCAGACAGACGGCGGGUGCUAAGGUCCGUCGUCAAAAGGGAAACAGCCCUAACCUACAGCUAAGGUCCCCAAGUCACGUCUAAGUGGGAAAGCAUGUGGGAUUUCCAAAACAACCAGGAGGUUGGCUUAGAAGCAGCCAUCCUUUAAAGAAAGCGUAACAGCUCACUGGUCUAAACAAGAGAUCCUGCGGCGAAGAUGUAACGGGGCUCAAGACGUGCACCGAAGCUUAGGGUUCAGUCUUUUGACUGAGCGGUAGCGGAGCGUUCCGUAGGCCGUUGAAGCGGGAGGGUAACCGACCGUGGAGGUAUCGGAAGUGCGAAUGCAGACAUGAGUAGCGAUUAAGAGGGUGAGAUGCCCUCUCGCCGAAAUUCCAAGGGUUCCUGCUUAAAGCUAAUCUGAGCAGGGUAAGCCGGCCCCUAAGACGAGCCCGAAGGGGGUAGUCGAUGGGAACCACGUUAAUAUUCGUGGGCCUGGAGGUGUGUGACGGAUGGUGCAACUUGUCUGGCCUUAUUGGAUUGGUCCAGGCAGGGAAACUGUCCCAGGAAAUAGCCCCUCCGUAUAGACCGUACCCUAAACCGACACAGGUGGAAUGGUAGAGUAUACCAAGGCGUUUGAGAGAAGUAUCCUGAAGGAACUCGGCAAAUUGCCUCCGUACCUUCGGAAGAAGGAGGCCCCAUCUAAGCGCAAGCUCUGAUGGGGGGCACAGGCCAGGGGGUAGCGACUGUUUAGCAAAAACACAGGGCUCUGCUAAGUCGGCUUCAAGACGACGUAUAGGGCCUGACGCCUGCCCGGUGCCUGAAGGUUAAGAGGAGGAGUGCAAGCUCUGAAUUGAAGCCCAGGUAAACGGCGGCCGUAACUAUAACGGUCCUAAGGUAGCGAAAUUCCUUGUCGGGUAAGUUCCGACCUGCACGAAUGGCGUAACGACUUCCCCACUGUCUCCAGGAUAUGCUCAGCGAAAUUGAAUUCUCCGUGAAGAUGCGGAGUACCCGCGGUUAGACGGAAAGACCCCGUGCACCUUUACUGCAGCUUCAGAGUGGCAUUAGGAAAGAACUGUGUAGCAUAGGUGGGAGGCUUUGAAGC
rnacentral:rRNA from 1 species